rnacentral:rRNA from 1 species
AGGGAUCAUUACUGAGUGAGGGCCUUCGGGCCCGACCUCCAACCCUUUGUGAACACAACUUGUUGCUUCGGGGGCGACCCUGCCGUUUCGACGGCGAGCGCCCCCGGAGGCCUUCUAACACUGCAUCUUUGCGUCGGAGUUUAAGUAAAUUAAACAAAACUUUCAACAACGGAUCUCUUGGUUCUGGCAUCGAUGAAGAACGCAGCGAAAUGCGAUAAGUAAUGUGAAUUGCAGAAUUCAGUGAAUCAUCGAAUCUUUGAACGCACAUUGCGCCCUUUGGUAUUCCGAAGGGCAUGCCUGUUCGAGCGUCAUUUCACCACUCAAGCCUGGCUUGGUAUUUUGGGCGCCGCGGUCGAUCCGCGCGCCUCAAAGUCUCCGGCUGAGCUGUCCGUCUCUAAGCGUUGUGAUUUCAUUAAUCGCUUCAGAGUGCGGGCGGCCGCGGCCGUUAAAUCUUUCACAAGGUUGACCUCGGAUCAGGUAGGGAUACCCGCUGAACUUAA